UCUCCGUAGGUGAACCUGCGGAGGGAUCAUUACAGAGUUCAUGCCCUACCGGGUAGAUCUCCCACCCUAUGUUAUUAUUACUUUGUUGCUUUGGCGGGCCGUUAGGCUCCGGCCCGACUACCGGCCCCGGCUGGUAAGCGCCCGCCAGAGGACCCAAAACCCUGAAUAUUAGUGUCUUCUGAGUAAUAUAUAAUAGUUAAAACUUUCAACAACGGAUCUCUUGGUUCUG
rnacentral:misc_RNA from 1 species